rnacentral:rRNA from 1 species
UACAGAGGUCUCGAGCGUUGUUCGGGAUUCAUUGGGCGUAAAGGGCGCGUAGGCGGCGGGGUAAGUCUGGUGUGAAAUCUCGGAGCUCAACUCCGAAAUUGCACUGGAUACUGCUCUGCUAGAGGGCUGGAGAGGAGAUCGGAAUUCACGGUGUAGCAGUGAAAUGCGUAGAUAUCGUGAGGAAGACCAGUGGCGAAGGCGGAUCUCUGGACAGCUCCUGACGCUGAGGCGCGAAGGCUAGGGGAGCAAACGGG